rnacentral:rRNA from 1 species
GGAGCUUGCUCUUGCUGACGACCGGCGCACGGGUGCGUAACGCGUAUACAAUCUGCCUUACACUAAGGGAUAGCCCAGAGAAAUUUGGAUUAACACCUUAUAGUUUAUUUUUAUGGCAUCAUUUAAAUAAUAAAGUUUACGGUGUAAGAUGAGUAUGCGUCCCAUUAGUUUGUUGGUAAGGUAACGGCUUACCAAGACUACGAUGGGUAGGGGCCCUGAGAGGGGGAUCCCCCACACUGGUACUGAGACACGGACCAGACUCCUACGGGAGGCAGCAGUGAGGAAUAUUGGACAAUGGAGGAGACUCUGAUCCAGCCAUGCCGCGUGCAGGAAGACGGUCCUAUGGAUUGUAAACUGCUUUUAUACAGGAAGAAUAAGGACUACGUGUAGUCUGGUGACGGUACUGUAAGAAUAAGGACCGGCUAACUCCGUGCCAGCAGCCGCGGUAAUACGGAGGGUCCGAGCGUUAUCCGGAAUUAUUGGGUUUAAAGGGUCCGUAGGCGGGCUGUUAAGUCAGGGGUGAAAGUUUGCAGCUCAACUGUAGAAUUGCCUUUGAUACUGAUGGUCUUGAAUUAUUGUGAAGUGGUUAGAAUAUGUAGUGUAGCGGUGAAAUGCAUAGAUAUUACAUAGAAUACCGAUUGCGAAGGCAGAUCACUAACAAUUGAUUGACGCUGAUGGACGAAAGCGUGGGUAGCGAACAGGAUUAGAUACCCUGGUAGUCCACGCCGUAAACGAUGGAUACUAGCUGUUUGGAUUUCGAUCUGAGCGGCCAAGCGAAAGUGAUAAGUAUCCCACCUGGGGAGUACGUUCGCAAGAAUGAAACUC